AGAGUUUGAUCCUGGCUCAGAUUGAACGCUGGCGGCGUGCUUAACACAUGCAAGUCGAACGAGAAAGGGACUUCGGUCCUGAGUAGAGUGGCGCACGGGUGNNNNNNNNNNNNNNNNNNNNNNNNNNNNNNNNNNNNNNNNNNNNNNNNNNNNNNAGGGAAACUUGUGCUAAUACCGGAUACGUUGAGUAAUCAAGAAAGGUGGCCUCUGAAUAUGCUACUGUGCUGAGAUGAGCUUGCGUACCAUUAGCUAGUUGGUAGGGUAAUGGCCUACCAAGGCAACGAUGGUUAGCGGGUCUGAGAGGAUGAUCCGCCACACUGGAACUGAAACACGGACCAGACUCCUACGGGAGGCAGCAGUGAGGAAUAUUGCGCAAUGGGGGCAACCCUGACGCAGCGACGCCGCGUGGAUGAUGAAGGCCUUCGGGUCGUAAAAUCCUGUCAAGUGGAAAGAACCUGUAAAUGGUCAACACCCGUUUACACUGACGGUACCACUGAAGGAAGCACCGGCUAACUCCGUGCCAGCAGCCGCGGUAAUACGGGGGGUGCAAGCGUUACUCGGAAUCAUUGGGCGUAAAGGGCGCGUAGGCGGCCUGGUAAGUCAGGUGUGAAAGCCCGGGGCUUAACCCCGGAAGUGCAUUUGAUACUGCCAGGCUUGAGUAUGGGAGAGGGAAGUGGAAUUCCUGGUGUAGAGGUGAAAUUCGUAGAUAUCAGGAGGAACACCGGUGGCGAAGGCGACUUCCUGGACCAAUACUGACGCUGAGGCGCGAAGGCGUGGGGAGCAAACAGGAUUAGAUACCCUGGUAGUCCACGCAGUAAACUUUGUUCACUAGGUGUAGCGGGUAUUGACCCCUGCUGUGCCGAAGCUAACGCAUUAAGCACUCCGCCUGGGGAGUACGGUCGCAAGGUUGAAACUCAAAGGAAUUGACGGGGGCCCGCACAAGCGGUGGAGCAUGUGGUUUAAUUCGACGCAACGCGAAGAACCUUACCAGGGCUUGACAUCCUACGAAUCCUUAGGAAACUAGGGAGUGCCCUUCGGGGAGCGUAGAGACAGGUGGUGCAUGGUUGUCGUCAGCUCGUGUCGUGAGAUGUUGGGUUAAGUCCCGCAACGAGCGCAACCCCUAUCUUUAGUUGCCAGCGAGUAAUGUCGGGGACUCUAAAGAUACUGCCUCGGUUAACGGGGAGGAAGGUGGGGAUGACGUCAAGUCCUCAUGGCCUUUAUGCCUAGGGCUACACACGUACUACAAUGGACGGAACAAAGGGUCGCGAUACUGAGAGGUGGAGCUAAUCCCAAAAACCCGUCCCAAGUUCGGAUUGGAGUCUGCAACUCGACUCCAUGAAGUUGGAAUCGCUAGUAAUCGCGGAUCAGCAUGCCGCGGUGAAUACGUUCCCGGGCCUUGUACACACCGCCCGUCACACCAUGAGAGUUGGUUGUACCAGAAGUUGUCGGGCAAACCCUUCGGGGAUGCAGGCACCUAAGGUAUGGCUGAUAAUUGGGGUGAAGUCGUAACAAGGUAACC
rnacentral:rRNA from 1 species